rnacentral:rRNA from 1 species
GCCAGACUCCUACGGGAGGCAGCAGUGGGGAAUAUUGCACAAUGGGGGGAACCCUGAUGCAGCGACGCCGCGUGGGUGAAGGAGUAUUUCGGUAUGUAAAGCCCUAUCAGCAGGGAAGAAAAUGACGGUACCUGACUAAGAAGCCCCGGCUAACUACGUGCCAGCAGCCGCGGUAAUACGUAGGGGGCAAGCGUUAUCCGGAUUUACUGGGUGUAAAGGGAGCGUAGACGGUGAAGCAAGUCUGAAGUGAAAGGCGGGGGCUCAACCCCCGGACUGCUUUGGAAACUGUUUGACUGGAGUGCAGGAGAGGUAAGUGGAAUUCCUAGUGUAGCGGUGAAAUGCGUAGAUAUUAGGAGGAACACCAGUGGCGAAGGCGGCUUACUGGACUGUAACUGACGUUGAGGCUCGAAAGCGUGGGGAGCAAACAGGAUUAGAUACCCUCGUA